rnacentral:rRNA from 1 species
AUUGAACGCUGGCGGCAGGCUUAACACAUGCAAGUCGAGCGGAGAGAGGUAGCUUGCUACUGAUCUUAGCGGCGGACGGGUGAGUAAUGCUUAGGAAUUUGCCUGGUAGUGGGGGACAACGUUUCGAAAGGAACGCUAAUACCGCAUACGUCCUACGGGAGAAAGUGGGGGAUCUUCGGACCUCACGCUGUCAGAUGAGCCUAGGUACGAUUAGCUAGUUGGUGAGGUAAAGGCUCACCAAGGCGACGAUCGUUAACUGGUCUGAGAGGAUGAUCAGUACCACUGGAACUGAGACACGGUCCAGACUCCUACGGGAGGCAGCAGUGGGGAAUAUUGGACAAUGGGCGAAAGCCUGAUCCAGCCGUGCCGCGUGUGUGAAGAAGGUCUUCGGAUUGUAAAGCACUUUAAGUUGGGAGGAAGGGCAGUAAGUUAAUACCUUGCUGUUUUGACGUUACCGACAGAAUAAGCACCGGCUAACUUCGUGCCAGCCGCCGCCGUAAUAC